rnacentral:lncRNA from 1 species
ACCUGAGCAAGGCUGGAAAUUCAAUUACUGUACAACACACCCAUGAGAAUUUCUGUUCUCCCCUGCAGUCUAGAUUUCUGAAAGUUUUCCAGAAGACAAAAUCCUAUUUAAAGACUUGGAAAAACAUGAAAUUGGGGGACACUUUUGCUUGUGUCAUUGUCAUGUUUCCCUGAGCAAAACUUAUUGAACAUUCCCAUUAUAUUUUAGCAACUGGAUUCAAAUUGUGUUCCUCCUUCAAAACAGAUAAACAAGUCUGUAUAUGCCUUGUUACUAGUGUGGUUCAAGCAUGUAAAAGCAGAAACACUCCUCAAGCACCCUUUGAGUUAAGAAGAUUUUUCAAAGAUUUAUCUGCUGAAUUUUAUUUUAACUAGAGGACAUUUUACAGGUAAGAGAUAUACGUUUAUGCUUUGUCUUGCUGGUGGUGGGUUUAUCUGAGGUAAAUGAAAGGACAUUUGUGUGGAUUGCUGAAGUUUUUUGGCCCCUUACUUUGGCCUGCUUAACUUACUAAAACACUCUUUCUUACUCAGACAAAAGAACACUCGAAUCAUAAUUAGUGCUCUUGCUAAGGGAAGCAACACUAUUGUUGUUAAUACUUAAGAUUAGAGAUAUGACAAAAAGACAAUUAAGGCAAAAUUAAGAUGACUUUGAGAUGAAAAAAACCUGAAGUAUUUUGUUUUGGUGUGUAGUUUGACCUGCACCAUUUGUUCUACAGCCAUUAUUUAUUUUUGGCGGAGAGCUCAUAAAACAAAACCACCAGCGCAUCAGAUGUGAGACGCAUCCAAACAAACAAGAGCGUCUUCUAGACUUGAAUAUGUACAUAUGAACUUUUAUGAAGCACUUAUAUAUAUUUUAAUUUUUGUAGGGAAUUCCACCUGUGUCUCCAGCCAGAUGUAAAUAGCUUCACAGAUUUCAAUAUCUAGUCAGAAGAUGAAACUCAGAUGGUGGAUCUAUCUCACAUAUACUCAGGAGUACUACAGAUACCAGUGUCCAGGUUAAAGCAGAAGGCCGACCAGUCCAAAACCAGCUGUCUUCUGUUGUGGCUCAGGUGAGUUCCCAAGAUCUAGUACUCAAAAGAUGCAUUCAUUCAAUCAUUUAUAAAUGGAGCCCUGCACACGGCAUGCAAGAAAAAAUAAAUAAAUCAUGUGCACGAUUUACUAAUUCAUUCCCUCGAUGUACUAAAACUUGUAUACGAUUACGAUUUCGUUCCCUCCUAAAUAAUGUGCACAAUUGACUUAGUCUUUCUCUCGAUUUAUAAAUCAUCUGCACGAUUUUUCAAAUCGAGGGAACAAUUUAGUAAUUUGUGCGCACAAUUUAUAAAUCGAGGGAACAAAUUAGUGACUCGUGAACACAAUUUAGCAAAUUGAGGGAAGAAAUUAGUAAAUUGUGCACAUAAUUUAUAAAUUGAGAAAAAAAAAGUUAAUCGUGCACACGAUUUAGCCUACAAUUUUUUUUUACUGCAUGCCAUGUGUGGGGCUCCAUACAAAUAGGUAGAUAAACACAAUAUUUUUUCCUGUUGACUCUAAAAUUUUGCCCCUCUUCAGUUUUGGGUCUCCACAAAUUGGGAUGCACAGCAUGUUCCUUCCUUGAUCCCACUGGAGACUUCUGUGAAACGGCGGGGUUGUAUGUCACCAAUGGACUAAAGCCAAGUUCGUUACUGUGAGAAACAAAGCCCUUAAAGCUACUUUAGUACAACUUAAUGUUAUGCAAUCUUUGUUUGCUGAAAAUAAAAAACAGGAUUUCCACAAGUUAAAGUAACCAUUUGUUAUUUUUUAUCUGACGAGUUUUCCAGAUUGGUUUGUUGUGGGGGCUGGACUGCCCUGAGCUUUUACUUUAGGGGAAGUUCCCAUUGUCUGUGUAUAAUUUUUGAUGGUUACGCAAUGUUUUUGUUUCACUCUCCACAGCUGGUGAUUUUUAUUGUUUUACCAAAUCAGUACAUCUACAAGAUUCCUAAAAAGCAAUGUUUCUGGCAAAGAAUAACUGAAAAGCACCCUUUUAAAUGAUAAUGGGUCUGUUAUUUUGUUGCUUUUUUUUUUGUUUAACUGGUUUCUAAGCUGGAAAUUUUUUAAACAAGUUUUUGUAUUUGGUUUUGUGCCCAGCAAAAAUGAUCUGUACUACACACAAAAAAAAAAUGAAAAAAUACAAAAAACCUUUCAGAAGUUCGGAAUUAAAAUGUAAUGUUUAGAAACAAAGUCUCUUGCUGCAUUUAUUUGAUCAAAAAUACAGUAAUAUUAACAGUUAUUGUGCUAAAUAUUAUUACCACUUAAAACUAUUUACAUUUUUUUGAUG